rnacentral:rRNA from 1 species
CCUACGGGUGGCGCCAGUGAGGAAUAUUGCACAAUGGGCGCAAGCCUGAUGCAGCCAUGCCGCGUGUAUGAAGAAGGCCUUAGGGUUGUAAAGUACUUUCAGUUGGGAGGAAGGCGUUGAUGCUAAUAUCAUCAACGAUUGACGUUACCAACAGAAGAAGCACCGGCUAACUCCGUGCCAGCAGCCGCGGUAAUACGGAGGGUGCAAGCGUUAAUCGGAAUUACUGGGCGUAAAGCGCACGCAGGCGGUUGAUUAAGUUAGAUGUGAAAUCCCCGGGCUUAACCUGGGAAUGGCAUCUAAGACUGGUCAGCUAGAGUCUUGUAGAGGGGGGGUAGAAUUCCAUGUGUAGCGGUGAAAUGCGUAGAGAUCUGGAGGAAUACCGGUGGCGAAGGCGGCCCCCUGGACUAAGACUGACGCUCAGGUGCGAAAGCGUGGGGAGCAAACAGGAUUAGAUACCCUCGUAGUC